GUACCACUUGCCUCUGUUUCAGUUCUAUGAAACUGAAAGAUUUAAAGUCUAGCUUUCCAUAAGGACUGUAAGCUAGAAUCCGAAAGUGCCAUGAAGACUCUUUAUAGCUGCCUUAUUUUGAGCGUUUUAGUCCUUUGGAUGGUGCUACCACCUGCAUGUUUGGAAAAGAGACCAGUGAGACCUGGAAAAUGUCCUCCUAUUAUCGAAAUAGGGUGUCUUGAACCUCAGAAAGAUAUGUGCAAAGUGGAUGCUGAUUGUCCACAGCCAAAGAAAUGCUGUUAUAAACCGUGUUCUCUUCAAUGUGUGAAUCCUAGAAAAAGGAUAAACUAAUAACUCGGUGUGGACCUAUGAAAAUCAUGCCUUGCAAAACCAUCUAUUGCCGCCCUCUACUGGCUUAGAAAAUGAUUGAAUGAUGGUUCUGAAUAUAUUGU